CUCAGGACGAACGCUGGCGGCGUGCCUAAUACAUGCAAGUCGAGCGCACCGCGGGGAGCUUGCUUCCGGCGGUGAGCGGCGGAUGGGUGAGUAACACGUGGGCAACCUGCCGGGCAGACGGGGAUAACUGGGGGAAACCGCAGCUAAGACCGGAUAGGGCGCACGCACCGCCUGGUGCGUGCGGGAAAGGCGGCUACGGCCGCGCUGCCCGAGGGGCCCGCGGUGCAUUAGCCAGUUGGCGGGGCAGAGGCCCACCAAAGCAACGAUGCAUAGCCGACCUGAGAGGGUGAUCGGCCACAUUGGGACUGAGACACGGCCCAAACUCCUACGGGAGGCAGCAGUAGGGAAUCUUCCACAAUGGACGAGAGUCUGAUGGAGCAACGCCGCGUGAGCGAAGAAGGUUUUCGGAUCGUAAAGCUCUGUUGCCGGAGAAGAACGGGCGGGAGAGGGAAUGCUCCCGUCGUGACGGUAUCCGGCGAGCAAGUCACGGCUAACUACGUGCCAGCAGCCGCGGUAAUACGUAGGUGGCGAGCGUUGUCCGGAAUUAUUGGGCGUAAAGGGCACGCAGGCGGCUGUUUAAGUCCGGUGUGAAAGGUUGCGGCUUAACCGCAAACGGGCACCGGAAACUGAAGAGCUUGAGGGCAGAAGAGGGGAGCAGAAUUCCACGUGUAGCGGUGAAAUGCGUAGAGAUGUGGAAGAAUACCGGUGGCGAAAGCGGCUCUCUGGUCUGCACCUGACGCUGAGGUGCGAAAGCGUGGGGAGCGAACAGGAUUAGAUACCCUGGUAGUCCACGCCGUAAACGAUGAAUGCUAGGUGUUAGGGGGGUCCAACCCCUUAGUGCUGAAGGCAACCCAUUAAGCAUUCCGCCUGGGGAAUACGACCGCAAGGUUGAAACUCAAAGGAAUUGACGGGGGCCCGCACAAGCAGUGGAGCAUGUGGUUUAAUUCGAAGCAACGCGAAGAACCUUACCAGGUCUUGACAUCCUCCGCGAGCCGGAGAGAUCCGGGGUUCCCCUUCGGGGGACGGAGUGACAGGUGGUGCAUGGUUGUCGUCAGCUCGUGUCGUGAGAUGUUGGGUUAAGUCCCGCAACGAGCGCAACCCUUAAGCCCGGUUGCCAGCAUUAAGUUGGGCACUCGGGGCUGACUGCCGGUGACAAACCGGAGGAAGGUGGGGAUGACGUCAAAUCAUCAUGCCCCUGAUGAUCUGGGCGACACACGUGCUACAAUGGGCGGUACAAAGGGCAGCGAAGCCGCGAGGCGGAGCGAAUCCCGGAAAGCCGCCCCCAGUUCGGAUUGCAGGCUGCAACCCGCCUGCAUGAAGCCGGAAUUGCUAGUAAUCGCGGAUCAGCAUGCCGCGGUGAAUCCGUUCCCGGGCCUUGUACACACCGCCCGUCACACCACGAGAGUGAGUAACACCCGAAGUCGGUGGGGGAACCGCAAGGACCCAGCCGCCGAAGGUGGGACGCAUGAUUGGGGUGA
rnacentral:rRNA from 1 species